UAAAUGUAAGUCAAAAGAAGCUAAAUUGAAAACACUUAAAAACAGUUGUGUGCCUAAUUACUCUGGCUGUGUUAUCUGUCAUGUUUAAGCAUGCAUAUAUUUAAUAUCAACUGCUUAUAGCUUUACAUCCAGUUUUACACAGACAGUCAGAUAAUUUAGUUGUGGUGAAAAUACAAUAUUUAAAGGUAUAUGAUUUAUUCAUUGCAUUUUUUCUUCAAGGGCUUUAAUUACCUGAUGCAUGCUUAAACAUCAAGGUAAGUAAAUCCCAAAUGUACUGUUUGGGAAAACCUGCAGUCACUUGAGACUGAAGAAGUCACUUGGAUGAGUGACAAAACGUUUGUCCCACUGAAAACACGAUGCCCAGAUGAACACAAUCAGCCUUUUGGGCUAUAGUUACCAAUUUGUACAUUGUUUUCUUCUUUUUCUAUGCUGAGUUUUCAGUUCUCUGUGUCAUAUCAAAGUGUUUUAGUAUUUGGUUUAAAUGCCUUAUGAAAAGGAAAAAAGAUACGGUCUCUGACAUCUUCAGUAUUCUGAUUAUUUUUUUAUAAACUAUAAACUACAUUCACUCCUAUAGGAGAAAGCCAAGUGCCCCAAAGAGAGAGUGGCUCUUUCUGCUGCCACACAUCGGUCUCUGGACAGGAAAAAGAAGGUUGGUGAAUCUCCAGCACAGACUAGGAAGAUGCAGCAGAAGCCAAAAUGUCCCACUACCAACAGAAACACUCCAGAGGAGAGGGUAAGGCACUCUGAGAAACUGAAACUCGAAACAAACCAAACACAACCCAGAGACCAAAAACAGAAAACACUGGAGCCCAGAAAACAACCAAACAAAACCAGGCACACGACAGUGCCCCCCCCCCCAAAAAAAAAAAAAAAAAAAAAAAAAAAAAAAAGUUCAGGGGGCCGGCCCGGAGGCUGACGGCACCAAAGUCCAAACCUGGGUCGUUCAGGAGGCCGGCCGUGCGAAACGCAACGGCGGCGAGGCAAGCGAAGAAGG
ensembl:lncRNA